rnacentral:rRNA from 1 species
AUGUACAUUCAUACAACAUAGCAUCAAUGUACCGGAUCCCAUUAUAACUCCACAUUUAAGCAUGCUCAGGCUAGAGUAGUACUGUGAUGGGUGAUCGCCUGGGAAUUCCUAGUGUUUUACAUG